rnacentral:lncRNA from 1 species
UGCUCUUCAGGAGGUUUCUGGACAGGCAUCUAUGGACUGACUCUGAAACAGGAAGGCUUCCAGACAGUGAGUUCUAGAUAGAACUUACUGGGAUCUUGAGCAGCUUGAUGACUAAAUGUUAGGUCCAUGUUUAUUCUCAAACGGCACAGCCAUGUAGGAUGUAAGUCUUGCCUCUGUAAUGAAUACAGAGAAUGUGCAGAGCAGCAGAAUCAGCCAGCAGCUAUUUGCAUCAGGAACAGACCUGCUUUUGAAAAACUGCGGAGUAUUCCUUCCUGUCUCCCUCCCGAGGGAUUCUUUAAACUGUUUCUCCAUGUUCCUUCGCUGCCACCAACCAGCGCUUCAACAGCUGAUAGCAAAGGUGGCUUGAAGGCCCUACUGACCACAGCCCAGUGUGAAGCGUUCCUCUUUGCUGGUGGCUCCUGCUGGGAUUUGUCCCUUGCUAACUGCUUUGUCACAGUGACCAAUUCUGGCACUGCAGAGGCUAUUUGCAACAGUAUGAGAGAGAGUAGAAGUCACAUUUGAUACAGAGGUGGCCAUGCAGCAGGAAUAGGUUCCAGCAACAUGAAUCCAAGUUGUCAUUUCCUCGUAGUAUAUAAUGAUAUGUUGGCCUUUUAUACCUGAUAUUAUGUGCUAGCAGCAGUCUUUGUUCAUGCUACAUCUAUGUAACAUAUCUUUAAAUGCUGUUUUGUCCAUUUCCCUAUGUUCAUGUAAUUCUUUUAAUAACCAGAAAAGAUCUUAAUUAAUCCUUUGGACCCC